rnacentral:rRNA from 1 species
CCUACGGGAGGCAGCAGUGGGGAAUUUUCCGCAAUGGGCGAAAGCCUGACGGAGCAAUACCGCGUGAGGGAAGAAAGCCUACUGGGUUGUAAACCUCUUUUUUCAGGGAGGAAAAAAUGACGUGUACCUGAAGAAUAAGCAUCGGCUAACUCCGUGCCAGCAGCCGCGGUAAGACGGAGGAUGCAAGUGUUAUCCGGAAUUACUGGGCGUAAAGCGUCUGUAGGUGGUUUAAUAAGUCAACUGUUAAAUCUUGAGGCUUAACUUCAAAACAGCAGUCGAAACUAUUAGACUAGAGUAUAGUAGGGGUAAAGGGAAUUUCCAGUGGAGCGGUGAAAUGCGUAGAUAUUGGAAAGAACACCGAUGGCGAAAGCACUUUACUGGGCUAUUACUAACACUCAGAGACGAAAGCUAGGGUAGCAAAUGGGAUUAGAUACCCCAGUAGUCCUAGCUGUAAACAAUGGAUACUAGAUGUUGAAACAGAUACGACCUAGUGCAGUAUUAAAGUACUAACGUACGUUAAGUUAAUCCGUCCGUCGGUAGGUAGUAGUCUCGCAGAGUAGUAAACGUUAAAGUAGUAAGUUAGUACGGACGUGUAAGUACGUAGUUCGAACGGACGACGACGAGGGAGGAGG